UGUGUAGGCGGUUGUUUAAGUUUGGUGUGAAAUCUCCCGGCUCAACUGGGAGGGUGCGCCGAAUACCGAAUGACUAGAGUGCGGGAGAGGAAAGUGGAAUUCCUGGUGUAGCGGUGAAAUGCGUAGAUAUCAGGAGGAACACCGGUGGUGUAGACGGCUUUCUGGACCGUAACUGACGCUGAAACACGAAAGCGUGGGUAGCAAACAGGAUUAGAUACCCUGGUAGUCCACGCCCUAAACGAUGCAUAUUUGGUGUGGGCAGUUCAUUCUGUCCGUGCCGGAGCUAACGCGUUAAAUAUGCCGCCUGGGGAGUACAGUCGCAAGGCUGAA
rnacentral:rRNA from 1 species